rnacentral:rRNA from 1 species
UAGCGGAGGAAAAGAAAAUAACAAUGAUUCCCUCAGUAACGGCGAGCGAAGAGGGAUAAGCUCAAAUUUUAAAUCUGUUGGGUUCCACUUAACAGAGUUGUAUUUUGAAGAAACGUUUUCUGCGUCCAGGAUUAGCCUAAAUCCUUUGGGAUAAGGUAUCAUGGAGGGUGAGAAUCCCGUUCAUGGUUAAUCUUAAGGAAGCUCUACGAUACGUUUUCCAAGAGUCGAGUUGUUUGGGAUUGCAGCUCAAAAUGGGAGGUAAAUUUCUCCUAAGGCUAAAUAUUGGCGAGAGACCGAUAGCGAACAAGUACCGUGAGGGAAAGAUGAAAAGAACUUUGAAAAGAGAGUUAAACAGUACGUGAAAUUGUUGAAAGGGAAACGAUUGAAGUCAGUCAUACCAACGGGAAAUCAACCUUUUGAGCUUGGUCUUGUGGGUUUUGAAGAGUUUCAAAGCCUUCAGAUUCGCGGGAUUGGGAUCUCUUGGUGUACUUUUUCGUACGGUUAGUCAACAUCGGUUUUGAAUGUCAUAAAAUGACUGGAGGAAUGUAGCUUCGAUCUCGUAUUGAAGUGUUAUAGCCUUUGGUAGAUGUGAUGUUUGAGACCGAGGAUUGCAACGGAUACCCUUCAGGGCUAUUCGUCUGAUCUCUGAUACGUUGCCUUGAUGUUGAAAGCUUGCUUAUGAUGUUAGGGUAUUACGGUCAAAAGGUUAGAACGAAUUACAUUCGUUAAGGAUGUUGACGUAAUGACUUUAAACGACCCGUCUUG